UACGUAGGGUGCAAGCGUUGUCCGGAAUUAUUGGGCGUAAAGAGCUCGUAGGCGGCUUGUCACGUCGGAUGUGAAACCCGGGGCUCAACCCCGGGCCUGCAUUCGAUACGGGCAGGCUAGAGUUCGGCAGGGGAGACGUGGAAUUCCUGGUGGUAGCGGUGAAAUGCGCAGAUAUCAGGAGGAACACCGGUGGCGAAGGCGGGUCUCUGGGCCGAUACUGACGCUGAGGAGCGAAAGCGUGGGGAGCGAACAGG
rnacentral:rRNA from 1 species